CCUACGGGUGGCAGCAGUGAGGAAUAUUGGUCAAUGGGCGCGAGCCUGAACCAGCCAAGUAGCGUGAAGGAUGACUGCCCUACGGGUUGUAAACCUCUUUUAUAAAGGAAUAAAGUGAGGCACGUGUGCCUUUUUGUAUGUACUUUAUGAAUAAGGAUCGGCUAACUCCGUGCCAGCAGCCGCGGUAAUACGGAGGAUCCGAGCGUUAUCCGGAUUUAUUGGGUUUAAAGGGAGCGUAGGUGGGUUGUUAAGUCAGUUGUGAAAGUUUGUGGCUCAACCGUAAAAUUGCAGUUGAUACUGGCAGCCUUGAGUACGGUUGAGGCAGGCGGAAUGCGUGGUGUAGCGGUGAAAUGCUUAGAUAUCACGAAGAACUCCGAUUGCGAAGGCAGCUUACUAAGCUGCCACUGACAUUGAUGCUCGAAAGUGUGGGUAUCAAACAGGAUUAGAUACCCGUGUAGUC
rnacentral:rRNA from 1 species